CCUACGGGAGGCAGCAGUGAGGAAUAUUGGUCAAUGGACGAGAGUCUGAACCAGCCAAGUAGCGUGAAGGAUGACUGCCCUAUGGGUUGUAAACUUCUUUUAUAUGGGAAUAAAAUGUUCCACGUGUGGGAUUUUGUAUGUACCAUAUGAAUAAGGAACGGCUAACUCCGUGCCAGCAGCCGCGGUAAUACGGAGGAUCCGCGCGUUAUCCGGAUUUAUUGGGUUUAAGGGGAGCGUAGGUGGCUUGUUAAGUCAGUUGUGAAAGUUUGCGGCUCAACCGUAAAAUUGCAGUUGAAACUGGCAGUCUUGAGUACAGUAGAGGUUGGCGGAAUUCGUGGUGUAGCGGUGAAAUGCUUAGAUAUCACGAAGAACUCCGAUUGCGAAGGCAGUUCACUGGACUGCAACUGACACUGAGGCUCGAAAGUGUGGGUAUCAAACAGGAUUAGAUACCCCAGUAGUC
rnacentral:rRNA from 1 species